GAUGAAGAACGUAGCGAAAUGCGAUAAGUAAUGUGAAUCGCAGAAUUCAGUGAAUCAUCGAAUCUUUGAACGCACAUUGCGCCCGCCAGUAUUCUGGCGGGCAUGCCUGUCUGAGCGUCAUUUCAACCCUCAUGCCCCUAGGGCGUGGUGUUGGGGAUCGGCCAAAGCCCGCAAGGGACGGCCGGCCCCUAAAUCUAGUGGCGGACCCGUCGUGGCCUCCCCUGCGAAGUAGUGAUAUUCCGCAUAGGAGAAGCGACGAGCCCCUGCCGUUAAACCCCCAACUUUCUCAGGUUGACCUCAGAUCAGGUAGGAAUACCCGCUGAACUUAAGCAUAUCAAUAAGCGGAGGA
rnacentral:misc_RNA from 1 species